rnacentral:rRNA from 1 species
UACGUAGGGACCAAGCGUUGUUCGGAUUUACUGGGCGUAAAGCGUGCGUAGGUGGUUUGUUAAGUCUGAUGUGAAAGCCCUGGGCUCAACCUGGGAAUUGCAUUGGAUACUGGCAGGCUAGAGUGCGGUAGAGGGUAGUGGAAUUCCCGGUGUAGCAGUGAAAUGCGUAGAGAUCGGGAGGAACAUCUGUGGCGAAGGCGACUACCUGGACCAGCACUGACACUGAGGAGCGAAAGUGUGGGGAGCGAACAGG